AGAGUUUGAUCAUGGCUCAGAUUGAACGCUGGCGGCAGGCCUAACACAUGCAAGUCGAGCGGCAGCACAGAGGAACUUGUUCCUUGGGUGGCGAGCGGCGGACGGGUGAGUAAUGCCUGGGAAAUUGCCCGGUAGAGGGGGAUAACCAUUGGAAACGAUGGCUAAUACCGCAUAACCUCGCAAGAGCAAAGCAGGGGACCUUCGGGCCUUGCGCUACCGGAUAUGCCCAGGUGGGAUUAGCUAGUUGGUGAGGUAAGGGCUCACCAAGGCGACGAUCCCUAGCUGGUCUGAGA
rnacentral:rRNA from 1 species